UGCUGCCAGCAUCAUAGCAGAUAGACUGCUUGCUCUUGUCAGACGAGAUGAACGUAUCUCUCCAGGAGCAUCCAGUGUAUUUUAAGACAGCCUUGAAGCCAAAUCAAUUGGAAGCCACAAUUACUAAGAAUGAAGAUUAAAUAUAAUGAGCAAGAACCAACCUGUGAGGAUGAGUCGGGAUCAUGAAAUCCAUGAACCUUGCAAUGUUUUAUGGUUCAGUAACAGCUUGUACCAAGGUCCAGUGCCAAGUCUGACCAAGAACAAAUUGCCUGCCUCUGAAUUUAAAGGUCUCUGGAAUUAAACUGUCUCCCUGUACUGCAGAAUCACAUUAUACAAAGCACAGUGCCUUGGGCCAUUGGAUAAUGGAGUAGAACACGGACCUAAUGAGAUGUGAUGGUAACCCCUAAUCCACACCAUACCUGACUGACCCCACUAAUGACUCAAUAAAGUCCAUCUCUGUCACA
rnacentral:lncRNA from 1 species